AUGAAGUGGAAGAAGUUUGGGAUGUGCCCACUUAGGAUCAUGUGGCCCUGGCCUGCCCUGUCCUUGGCUCCCAGGAGUUCAGACACUUGGCCUCACCAAAGAGCCUACUUGAAGAGAGCUCAAAUUAAAGGUCUUUGUUAUGUGAAAUGGAUCUCAGGGAGGGAGAAAAGGGACAUGGAGAAAUCAAGUAUUUUUCAGGCUCAAUAUGACUUGAAUUGGACUAUUUCCGUGCCAUUUGCCAUGCGACUUCUUAACAGAGAAAUAUCCUACAAAGAAGACUAAUUUGGUUGGACCACAGAGAUCAUGAAAAACAGAAAAUGUACUGUGAACCUGGAGAAGUAGACUGAAGCUGGAUUUCAAUGGAUUUUAAAUGUUAUAAAGAGGAUUUUUAAUUUGAGAGACAAUAAAGAUCAGUCAUUGCAUGAGCA
rnacentral:lncRNA from 1 species